rnacentral:rRNA from 1 species
GAUGAACGCUGGCGGCGUGCCUAAUACAUGCAAGUCGAGCGAACAGACGAGGAGCUUGCUCCUCUGACGUUAGCGGCGGACGGGUGAGUAACACGUGGAUAACCUACCUAUAAGACUGGGAUAACUUCGGGAAACCGGAGCUAAUACCGGAUAAUAUAUUGAACCGCAUGGUUCAAUAGUGAAAGACGGUUUUGCUGUCACUUAUAGAUGGAUCCGCGCCGCAUUAGCUAGUUGGUAAGGUAACGGCUUACCAAGGCAACGAUGCGUAGCCGACCUGAGAGGGUGAUCGGCCACACUGGAACUGAGACCCGGUCCAGACUCCUACGGGAGGCAGCAGUAGGGAAUCUUCCGCAAUGGGCGAAAGCUUGACGGAGCAACGCCGCGUGAGUGAUGAAGGUCUUCGGAUCGUAAAACUCUGUUAUUAGGGAAGAACAAAUGUGUAAGUAACUAUGCACGUCUUGACGGUACCUAAUCAGAAAGCCACGGCUAACUACGUG